GUAAUUCUUCAGUACACCAGUCGCACUUAAAAGCUAAAGUCAAGUCAAGUCAAUUCUUCAGGAGCAAACAACAAUCAAUGCUGUGCGUGAGACCUGCGUUCGAAUGUGUGCAAAUCGACAAAAUUUGUGCUCACACAGAGAAGUAACGUCUUUCAAACUGUUCAUGCCCUGCGUGAUAACGCCAAGAUCAGUUUGUGAAUAAGGAAGAGCAGGUGCAACCUGGAGUUCAUAUUUGGAACAGGAGCAACUGGGAGCUCAUAGAUAUGGACAGGAGCGACAGGCAAGUGUUCACCGUUAGGCUGGAAUCCAGCAGUCCACGUUGAAGUAAACUUCUGGCCUUCAGAGGAAACCCAGUAAGAUGACCCUUUGGUGGUGUUGGCUAGGACUUCGCCAUUAGUUUCUUUUCUGUAAGAGUCGUAGGUAAUUCUUUGCAUUUUCCUCUGAACUUGACAUUCUUCAGGGGUAGUGUAGUCAGACUGGGCAUAGCUUUAGGUUGGAAAAAUAAAUUUUUUUUAAUGUGAGUGUCUUUAAUCCCUUUGUUAAUAAAUGUAAAACAUGAAAUGUACUUACUUCCAUUGGCUGCUGCCAUCGAUGUUGCGCUCGUCGGAUUGACUGGUGAUGGUAAUGUCAGCGUACUUGUUAUCCUUAUUGUACCUAGAAGCAGAAUAGAGGAGUAGAGUAGCUGUUAGUUUUGUA